rnacentral:rRNA from 1 species
UACGUAGGGUGCGAGCGUUAAUCGGAAUUACUGGGCGUAAAGCGUGCGCAGGCGGUUCGUCGUGUCCGAUGUGAAAGCCCCGGGCUCAACCUGGGAAUGGCGUUGGAAACUGGCGGACUCGAGUGUGGCAGAGGGGGGGUGGAAUUCCGCGUGUAGCAGUGAAAUGCGUAGAGAUGCGGAGGAACACCGAUGGCGAAGGCAGCCCCCUGGGCUAACACUGACGCUCAGGCACGAAAGCGUGGGGAGCAAACAGG